rnacentral:rRNA from 1 species
UGGAUUAGUGGCGAACGGGUGAGUAACACGUGAGUAACCUGCCCUUGACUCUGGGAUAAGCGUUGGAAACGACGUCUAAUACCGGAUACGACCUUCGGAGGCAUCUCCUGGGGGUGGAAAGAAUUUUGGUCAAGGAUGGACUCGCGGCCUAUCAGGUAGUUGGUGAGGUAACGGCUCACCAAGCCGACGACGGGUAGCCGGCCUGAGAGGGUGACCGGCCACACUGGGACUGAGACACGGCCCAGACUCCUACGGGAGGCAGCAGUGGGGAAUAUUGCACAAUGGGCGCAAGCCUGAUGCAGCAACGCCGCGUGAGGGACGACGGCCUUCGGGUUGUAAACCUCUUUUAGUAGGGAAGAAGCGAAAGUGACGGUACCUGCAGAAAAAGCACCGGCUAACUACGUGCCAGCAGCCGCGGUAAUACGUAGGGUGCAAGCGUUGUCCGGAAUUAUUGGGCGUAAAGAGCUCGUAGGCGGUUUGUCGCGUCUGCUGUGAAAUCCCGAGGCUCAACCUCGGGCCUGCAGUGGGUACGGGCAGACUAGAGUGCGGUAGGGGAGAUUGGAAUUCCUGGUGUAGCGGUGGAAUGCGCAGAUAUCAGGAGGAACACCGAUGGCGAAGGCAGAUCUCUGGGCCGUAACUGACGCUGAGGAGCGAAAGCAUGGGGAGCGAACAGGAUUAGAUACCCUGGUAGUCCAUGCCGUAAACGUUGGGAACUAGAUGUGGGGACCAUUCCACGGUCUCCGUGUCGCAG